CCUACGGGUGGCAGCAGUGAGGAAUAUUGGUCAAUGGGCGCGAGCCUGAACCAGCCAAGUCGCGUGAGGGAUGAAGGUUCUAUGGAUCGUAAACCUCUUUUAUAAGGGAAUAAAGUGUGGCACGUGUCCUUUUUUGUAUGUACCUUAUGAAUAAGGAUCGGCUAACUCCGUGCCAGCAGCCGCGGUAAUACGGAGGAUCCGAGCGUUAUCCGGAUUUAUUGGGUUUAAAGGGUGCGUAGGCGGGGUUUUAAGUCAGGGGUGAAAGUGUGAGGCUCAACCAUAAAAUUGCAAUUGAGACUGGUAGUAGUGAGUAGAGUUGAAGUAUGCGGAAUGCGUGGUGGAGCGGUGACACGAAUAGAUAUCACGAAGAAGUCCGAUUGCGAAGGCAGCAUAAUA
rnacentral:rRNA from 1 species